rnacentral:rRNA from 1 species
UACAGGGGGUGCAAACGUUGCUCGGAAUCAUUGGGCGUAAAGCGCACGUAGGCGGUCUGUUAUGUCGGAUGUGAAAGCCCUUGGCUUAACUGAGGAAGUGCAUCCGAAACUGGCAGGCUAGAGUACUAAAGAGGGUCGCGGAAUUCCCGGUGUAGAGGUGAAAUUCGUAGAUAUCGGGAGGAACACCGGUGGCGAAGGCGGCGACCUGGGUAGAUACGUGACGCUGAGGUGGCGGAAAAGCGGUGGGGAGCAAACAGGG